UACGGAGGGGGCUAGCGUUGUUCGGAAUUACUGGGCGUAAAGCGCACGUAGGCGGAUUCUUAAGUCGGUGGUGAAAGCCUGGAGCUCAACUCCAGAACUGCCUUCGAUACUGAGAGUCUUGAGUCCGGGAGAGGUGAGUGGAACUGCGAGUGUAGAGGUGAAAUUCGUAGAUAUUCGCAAGAACACCAGUGGCGAAGGCGGCUCACUGGCCCGGUACUGACGCUGAGGUGCGAAAGCGUGGGGAGCAAACAGG
rnacentral:rRNA from 1 species